rnacentral:rRNA from 1 species
UGGGGAAUUUUGGACAAUGGGCGAAAGCCUGAUCCAGCAAUGCCGCGUGUGUGAAGAAGGCCUUCGGGUUGUAAAGCACUUUUGUCCGGAAAGAAAUCCUUGGCUCUAAUACAGUCGGGGGAUGACGGUACCGGAAGAAUAAGCACCGGCUAACUACGUGCCAGCAACCGCGGUAAUACGUAGGGUGCAAGCGUUAAUCGGAAUUACUGGGCGUAAAGCGUGCGCAGGCGGUUUGCUAAGACCGAUGUGAAAUCCCCGGGCUCAACCUGGGAACUGCAUUGGUGACUGGCAGGCUAGAGUAUGGCAGAGGGGGGUAGAAUUCCACGUGUAGCAGUGAAAUGCGUAGAGAUGUGGAGGAAUACCGAUGGCGAAGGCAGCCCCCUGGGCAAUACUGACGCUCAUGCACGAAAGCGUGGGGAGCAAACAGGAUUAGAUACCCUGGUAGUCCACGCCCUAAAACGAUGUCAACUAGUUGUUGGGGAUUCAUUUCCUUAGUAACGUAGCUAACGCGUGAAGUUGACCGCCUGGGGAGUACGGUCGCAAGAUUAAAAACUUAAAUGAAUUGACGGGGUCAUAGCUGUUUCCU